UUUUUAAUGAUGAGAACGCCCUUAUUAUCUCACUGGUUCUAUUUUCAUCAUUUCUGACUAUUUCAAACUUUCUACUGCUCUUUUUCUGAUAUUGGGUCUUUAUUAUCUGUCUCUUUUGGUUCCUUCUCUCGUGCUCCUUGGCUUUCCACUUUGCUUCCUCUUUCCCUGUUUCAAGGACCCAACAUGGAGUCUUUGCAUGUUUUGAAACCCUACGUGAUUGCACUAGUUGACAGUAAUUGAAACAUCCGGGCCCGAACUGGCCCAAAUAACUUUCGGACCCACUUUCCACGCCAAAUGGUUAACCAAGUUAUUUAGUAGUUUCGUGCUAGCUAUUAUAUAUAAAUCCAUUUUCUUCAAAUCUUCCGAUGUGGGACAGUCAGUUGCCACAAUUCCGCCAAGCAGGCAGCUGACUGUUACACUCGGUCCCGCUAAAAUUUGCGACGUCCUUGUCGCAACUGAAUCCAUUACAAUUGCUACCCAGGACCGGACCCUUAGGUAUUGUGGUUCGCUAGUACCUCGGGUGGCUCCACCUCGUCUCUUACGGGUAGCCCUUUCCUCGCAGGUCCACUAGCUCCGCACAAUUUAUCUGACCCAAGGUGGCUCUGAUACCAAUUGAAACAGCAGGGCCCGAACUGGCCCAAAUAACUUUUGAACCCACUUUCCAUUUGGCCCAAAAUAGUUAACCCAAGUUAUUUAGUAGUUUCGUGCUAGCUAUUAUAUAUAAAUCCAUUUUCUUCAAAUCUUCCGAUGUGGGACGGUCAGCGCCGCAAUUCCGCCAAGCAGACAGCUGACCGUUACAUUCGGUCCCGCUAAAUUUUGCGACGUCCUCGUCGCAACUGAAUCCAUUAUAAUUGCUAACCAGGACCGGACCCUUAGGUAUUGUGGUUCGCUAGUACCUCGGGUGGCUCCACCUCGUCUCUCACGGGUAGCCCUUUCCUCGCAGGUCCACUAGCUCCGCACAAUUUAUCUGACCCAGGGUGGCUCUGAUACCAAUUGAAACAGCCGAGCCCGAACUGGCCCAAAUAACUUUUGGACCCACUUUUCUACUUGGCCCAAAAUGGUUAACCCAAGUUAUUUAGUAGUUCUGUGCUAGCUAUUAUAUACAAAUCUAUUUUCUUCAAAUCUUCCGAUGUGGGACGAUCAGCGCCGCAAUUCCGCCAAGCAGGCAGCUGACCGUUACAUUCGGUCCCGCUAAAUUUUGCGACGUCCUCGUCGCAACUGAAUCCAUUACAAUUGCUAACCAGGACCGGACCCUUAGGUAUUGUGGUUCGCUAGUACCUCGGGUGGCUCCACCUCGUCUCUCACGGGUAGCCCUUUCCUCGCAGGUCCACUAGCUCCGCACAAUUUAUCUAACAUAGGGUGGCUCUGAUACCCAAUUGAAACAGCCGGGCCCGAACUGGCCCAAAUAACUUUUGAACCCACUUUCCACUUG
rnacentral:lncRNA from 1 species